GUGGGGAAUAUUGGGCAAUGGGCGAAAGCCUGACCCAGCAACGCCGCGUGAAGGAAGAAGGUCUUCGGAUCGUAAACUUCUAUCCUUGGUGAAGAUAAUGACGGUAGCCGAGAAGGAAGCCCCGGCUAACUACGUGCCAGCAGCCGCGGUAAUACGUAGGUGGCGAGCGUUAUCCGGAUUUAUUGGGUGUAAAGGGCGUGUAGGCGGGACAGCAAGUCAGAUGUGAAAACCAGAGGCUCAACCUCUGGCCUGCAUUUGAAACUGUUGUUCUUGAGUGUCGGAGAGGUAAUCGGAAUUCCGUGUGUAGCGGUGAAAUGCGUAGAUAUACGGAGGAACACCAGUGGCGAAGGCGGAUUACUGGACGAUAACUGACGCUGAGGCGCGAAAGCGUGGGGAGCAAACAGGAUUAGAAACCCCGGUAGUCC
rnacentral:rRNA from 1 species